rnacentral:tRNA from 1 species
GGAAGGAUCGCAUAGCGGUCGAGUGCGCUUGCUUGGAAAGCAAGUAGGUCCGCAAGGGCCUCGAGGGUUCGAAUCCCUCUCCUUCCG